CUCAUUAACUGUGCCAACGGAAAAAAAUAAUUCAUGCGUAGUUUCUUCCAUUGAAUGGGAUACGAGACUUGGUUUUACUGUAUGUAUUCAAAUAUGAAUUUGAUUAGAUGAUCUGAUGACUUAAAAAUCUUUUGGUAUGGAGAUGUUUUUGCUGGACCACUCAUGGGUGGUAGGAGAGAAGCUCCAUACCUUAUGCUUGCUUAUGUUGUAAAAUAUCUUGCCCUGUGGUUGAGAGAAAUGCCAAAAAGUUCUUAUGAGAGUGAUUGUACUUUGCAGGAGGUCUCAAAACCUUUGACAGCUUUCAAGUCAUUUGACAACCCAAACCGGCUUCAGAUUAUUCGCGUACCUGUCCGCAGCAAGAGUCUGAAGAUCUUUGGUUUGGGACAGUUUCCGGGGCAAUCUGAAGAGUCUUUGGCUUUGCUGUCUCUGCAAGUGUGCCAUAGUGCUUGGAUCAUACUAUGAUGCUAGUGUACUUAGUUGCUUUUGACUGGAUGGCUUUGGGUAUAAAAGACUCCUCAAAUUCCUCAAACUUCUGAUAUGGAGAUUAUGGACUUGUAAAUGGACUCCCUUUUUUUUUUCUUCCCCCCCCCUUCUUUUUUCUCUCCUGUUGUUACAAUAUACUUUCAUCUUAACUGCAAGUAAAGAACUGCCAAAACAGUGCACAAGAUAUGGCACUACAACUUCCAAAUAUGCAUACCAGAAAAAUGUAGGCGUACGCAUUCCUGAUGAUACUGUAUGUCAAGCAAUUCUAGAGAAGACGGAUGCACCCUUGAUAUCAACAAGUGCCAAGUCUCCAAAGGAAAAUGGGUGGAUAAUUGAUCCAGUUGUAAUAGCUGAUGUAUAUGGACCAGAGGGUCUUGAUUUUGUCAUUGAUGCGGGUGUUAGAGUGGCUGAUCCGUCCACUGUAGUUGAUAUGAUUGGGAGUUUCCCAAGAAUCAUUCGUCAAGGAAAGGUAAUUGAGUCUGUACUAUUCAUAUUUUGUCUCACAUUGCAUGGUUUAAUUGCAUAUGACGUGUAACUGUUUUUGUCUAUAUGUGAGCUGGUUUUGGUAGUAUGAGUUUGUUCUCUCUCUCUCUCUCUCUCUC